GCCGGGCGCGGUGGCUCAAGCCUGUAAUCCCAGCACUUUGGGAGGCCGAGACGGGCGGAUCACGAGGUCAGAAGAUCGAGACCAUCCUGGCUAACACGGUGAAACCCCGUCUCUACUAAAACUACAAAAAAAAACUAGCCGGGCGAGGUGGCGGGCGCCUGUAGUCCCAGCUUCUCGGGAGGCUGAGGUAGGAGAAUGGCGUGAACCCNNNNNNNNNNGGGUUCACGCCAUUCUCCUACCUCAGCCUCCCGAGAAGCUGGGACUACAGGCGCCGGCCACCUCGCCCGGCUAGUUUUUUUUUGUAGUUUUAGUAGAGACGGGGUUUCACCGUGUUAGCCAGGAUGGUCUCGAUCUCCUGACCUCGUGAUCCGCCCAUCUCGGC
rfam:Chlorocebus sabaeus isolate 1994-021 chromosome 25, whole genome shotgun sequence.